GACGUAGGGCGCGAGCGUUGUCCGGAUUUAUUGGGCGUAAAGAGCUCGUAGGCGGCUUGUUGCGUCGACUGUGAAAACCUGCGGCUCAACCGUGUGGUCUGCAGUCGAUACGGGCAGGCUGGAGUUCGGUAGGGGAGACUGGAAUUCCUGGUGUAGCGGUGAAAUGCGUAGAUAUCUGGAGGAACACCGGUGGCGAAGGCGGCAUCCUGGACCAACACUGACACUGAGGAGCGAAAGCCAGGGGAGCAAACGGG
rnacentral:rRNA from 1 species